ensembl:snoRNA
GUAUGGGUUUGGAUUAUGGCAGGCCUGGGUCACUGAGCAUGUCAUAGGUCCUCUGCCAGAGCAAACUCAGGUUGCACACCAUUGUUUGGCCUCUGUGUUUGUGGGCUGCUAGUACUGAAGUAAGUUGCCCAGUA